rnacentral:rRNA from 1 species
GACGAACCGUGCGAACGUUGUUCGGAUUCACUGGGCUUAAAGGGCGCGUAGGCGGGCGGUCUAGUCGGGGGUGAAAUCUUUCGGCCCAACCGGAAGAGGGCCUCCGAUACUGGCCGCCUCGAGGGAGGUAGGGGCAGGUGGAACUUCCGGUGGAGCGGUGAAAUGCGUAGAUAUCGGAAGGAACGCCGGUGGCGAAAGCGACCUGCUGGACCUCUUCUGACGCUGAGGCGCGAAAGCCAGGGGAGCAAACGGG